GCAAGUCGAACGGUAAGGCCCUUCGGGGUACACGAGUGGCGAACGGGUGAGUAACACGUGGGUGAUCUGCCCUGCACUUCGGGAUAAGCCCGGGAAACUGGGUCUAAUACCGGAUAGGACUGCGCGGUGCAUGCCGUGUGGUGGAAAGAUUUAUCGGUGCAGGAUGGGCCCGCGGCCUAUCAGCUUGUUGGUGGGGUAAUGGCCUACCAAGGCGACGACGGGUAGCCGGCCUGAGAGGGCGACCGGCCACACUGGGACUGAGACACGGCCCAGACUCCUACGGGAGGCAGCAGUGGGGAAUAUUGCACAAUGGGCGCAAGCCUGAUGCAGCGACGCCGCGUGAGGGAUGACGGCCUUCGGGUUGUAAACCUCUUUCAGCAGGGACGAAGCGCAAGUGACGGUACCUGCAGAAGAAGCACCGGCCAACUACGUGCCAGCAGCCGCGGUAAUACGUAGGGUGCAAGCGUUGUCCGGAAUUACUGGGCGUAAAGAGCUCGUAGGCGGUUUGUCGCGUCGUCUGUGAAAACCAGCAGCUCAACUGUUGGCUUGCAGGCGAUACGGGCAGACUUGAGUAUUUCAGGGGAGACUGGAAUUCCUGGUGUAGCGGUGAAAUGCGCAGAUAUCAGGAGGAACACCGGUGGCGAAGGCGGGUCUCUGGGAAAUAACUGACGCUGAGGAGCGAAAGCGUGGGUAGCGAACAGGAUUAGAUACCCUGGUAGUCCACGCCGUAAACGGUGGGCGCUAGGUGUGGGUUUCCUUCCACGGGAUCCGUGCCGUAGCUAACGCAUUAAGCGCCCCGCCUGGGGAGUACGGCCGCAAGGCUAAAACUCAAAGGAAUUGACGGGGGGCCCGC
rnacentral:rRNA from 1 species